rnacentral:rRNA from 1 species
UACGGGGGGGGCAAGCGUUGUUCGGAAUUACUGGGCGUAAAGGGCGCGUAGGCGGUUGGAUAAGUCAGCUGUGAAAACCACGGGCUUAACUCGUGGCCUGCAGUUGAGACUGUCUGGCUUGAGUGUGGGAGAGGAGAGUGGAAUUCCUGGUGUAGCGGUGAAAUGCGUAGAUAUCAGGAGGAACACCGGUGGCGAAGGCGGCUCUCUGGACCACAACUGACGCUGAGGCGCGAAAGCUAGGGGGAGCAAACAGG